UGCCCCCUGCCGUGCAAGUGAUUGAAUGAAGCUCUUUGUCCCAACUACAACAGGAAGGGAGCCGUUCCUGAUCCUGGUGCGCAUGUUCCGCAUUGACGGAAAAGCCUAAAAGGAUCAUAUGGCGCCCACGUUGUUAAUUCCAGGUCAAAGACCUAUCAACACGGCACAGGCAGGGGGAUU
rnacentral:other from 1 species